GAUGAAGAAACGCAGUGAAAUGCGAUACGUAAUGUGAAUUGCAGAAUUCAGUGAAUCAUCGAGUCUUUGAACGCACAUUGCGCCCCCUGGUAUUCCGGGGGGCAUGCCUGUCCGAGCGUCAUUGCUGCCCUCAAGCACGGCUUGUGUGUUGGGCCUCCGUCCUCCUCCCGGGGGACGGGCCCGAAAGGCAGCGGCGGCACCGCGUCCGGUCCUCGAGCGUAUGGGGCUUCGUCACCCGCUCUUGUAGGCCCGGCCGGCGCUUGCCGACACAUCAAUCUUUUUUCCAGGUUGACCUCGGAUCAGGUAGGGAUACCCGCUGAACUUAAGCAUAUCAAUAAGCGGAGGA
rnacentral:misc_RNA from 1 species